AUUGAACGCUGGCGGCAUGCCUUACACAUGCAAGUCGAACGGCAGCACGGGUGCUUGCACCUGGUGGCGAGUGGCGAACGGGUGAGUAAUACAUCGGAACGUACCUUAUCGUGGGGGAUAACGCAGCGAAAGCUGUGCUAAUACCGCAUACGCCCUGAGGGGGAAAGCGGGGGAACGCAAGACCUUGCGCUAUACGAGCGGCCGAUGUCAGAUUAGCUAGUUGGUAGGGUAAAGGCCUACCAAGGCGACGAUCUGUAGCGGGUCUGAGAGGAUGAUCCGCCACACUGGGACUGAGACACGGCCCAGACUCCUACGGGAGGCAGCAGUGGGGAAUUUUGGACAAUGGGGGCAACCCUGAUCCAGCCAUGCCGCGUGAGUGAAGAAGGCCUUCGGGUUGUAAAGCUCUUUCGGCCGGGAAGAAAUCGCACAGGCUAAUACUCUGUGUGGAUGACGGUACCGGCAUAAGAAGCACCGGCUAACUACGUGCCAGCAGCCGCCGUAA
rnacentral:rRNA from 1 species